UCUGUUUGGUCUUUUUCCUUUUUCCUGGUUUGUUGUUGUUUUGGAGUUGUUGGGCUGUUCUCAUUUUGGUUCCUCAUCAGUAAUCUAAAUUCAAGAUCAAGCCUUUUGAAAACUGGGUAUCAUUUUUUUUCUUUCAACUUUUCUUUUUCUUUUUUCUUUUCUUGGUAGUUGUGUAAUGUCUUCUUCUCUUUUCCUUAUUUUUUGCAGCGAGGUAAAGUUCAUCUUUUUGGGAGUCUUGAGUUAAGAGCAAGAGAAAAUGGGGGAUAAAAAUGAAGUCUUGGAGGCUGUAUUGAAGGAAACUGUGGAUUUG
rnacentral:lncRNA from 1 species